rnacentral:lncRNA from 1 species
GGGUUCGAUCCUGGCCUUGCUCAGUGGGUUAAGGACUCAGCAUUGCCGUGAGCUGUGGUGUAGGUUGCAGACUCGGCUCAGAUCCCGCGUUGCUGUGGCUCUGGUGUAGGCCGGCGGCUACAGCUGCGAUUCAACCCCUAGCCUGGGAACCUCCAUGUGCCAUGGGAGCGGCCCCAGAAAUGGCAAAAAGACCAAAAAAAAAAAAUGAGGUGGUGAUGAAAAAAAUAAUUCCACUUGAGAAGCAACCUUGUUUCUCCCAAUUAAUUCUCCCUUUUGCUCUUUUCUUUCAGACUUUUAUCCAAUUUUUUGGAAAUAUACACAUAUCCUGGUGACAUUUACCCCUUGACCAAAAGAUGGAAACAGGUCACUGAACCAGAUAGGGCAAGGAAAGAUUUAAACCUCACAGUGUGGAAUUUAGUUAAGUAUCUUCUCCAUCAUCCUCAAUUUCUGCUCCAAAUCCACUGGCCCUUUCUCCUCAUUUUUGUAUAUACAUUUCAAAAGAUAUUUUUAUACCUCUAUAGAUAUAUUUUAUCUAUCUCUAUAUAUAGAGAGAAAUACAGAUAUCUAUAUAUAUCCUUACAGAUAUCUGUAUCUAUCUACCUAUCUCAGAAAGGGAGAGAAAAAGAGGAGAGAUAGCAGUUACAACAUGUGUAGUAAAUUUCUGAACUUUAUACUAGAUUCCAUGGGAUUAAGUGGGUCAUGGGGUCAAGAAAUAUGCAAUGCACUUUGAUGUGGAGAAAGAAGAGAGAAUCAAACAGUAUAUGAUUAUUAAAUGAUAUAAGUACUAUUGCCAUCCAAUCUUAAAAGAAUGCUUGAUUGCAGAGAGGCACAGAAUUCUCCACAAUAUACACCAUGCAUCUUUUUAAAGUAGUUAAUUUACAAUGUUGUGUUAGUUUCCAAUGUACAGCAAAGUGAUUCAUAUAUAUACAUAUCUAUCUUUUCCAUAUUCUUUUCCAUUGUAGUUUAUUACAAGGUAUUGAAUAUAGUUUCCUGCGCUAUACAGUAGGACCUUGUUGUCUGUUUUAUAUAGUUUGUAUCUGCUAAUCCCAAACCCCUAACAUCUCUCCCCCACCCCAUUUCCUCUUUGGUAACUAUAAAUUUCUUUUUUUUUUUUUUUUUUUUUGUCUUUUUAGGCCACACCCACAGCAUACGGAGGUUCCCAGGCUAGGGGUCUAAUCAGAGCUGUUGCUGCCAGCCUACACCACCACAGCCACAGCAACACCAGAUCCUUAACCCACUGAGCAAGGCCAGGGAUCGAACCCACAACCUCAUGGUUCCCAGUUGCAUUUGUUUCCACUGCACCACAACAGGAACUCCCUAUAAAUUUAUUUUCUAUGUCUGUGAGUCUGUUCUUGUUUUGUAAAGAAGUUCAUUUGUAUUAUAUUUUAGAUUCUUCAUAUAAGCGAUAUAUGAUAUCUGUCUUUCUCUUACCUCACUUAGUAUGAUAAAUCCAAGGUCCAUUCAUCUUGCCACAAAUGGCAUUAUUUCAUUCUUUUUAUGGCUGAGUAGUAUUCCAUUGUGUAUAUAUACUACAUCUUCUUUAUCCAUUCAUUUGUCAAUGAACAUUUAGGUUACUUCCAUGACUUGGCUAUUGUAAAUUCUGCUAUGGUGAACAUUGGUGUUCAUGAAUCUUUUUGAAUUAGAGUUUUCAUCUUUUCUGGAUAUAUACCUGGGAGAGAGAUUGACAGAUCAUAUAGUAACUCUAUUUUUAGUUUUUUGAGGAAACUCAAUACAGUUUCUAUAGUAGUUGCAUCAAUUUACAUUCCCACCAAAAAUGUAGAAGGGUUCCCUUUUCUCCACAUCCUUUCCAGCAUUUAUUAUUUGUAGACUUUUUAAUGAUGGCCAUUCUGACUGGUGUGAGGUGAUAUUUCAUUGUAAUUUUUUUUUUCUUUUUGUUUUAAGGGCUGCACCUGUGGCAUAUGGAAGUUCCCAGACUAGGGGUUGAAUCUGAGCUACAGCUGCCAGCCUACACCACAGCCACAGCAACCCAGGAUCCAAGUCACAUCCGUGAACUAGCCCACAGCUCAGGGCAAUGCCAGAUCCUUAACCCACUGAGCAAAGCCAGGGAUCAAACCCUCAUCCUCAUGGAUCCAAGUUGGGUUUGUUAAACCGCUGCACCUCUAAGGGAACUCCUACUUCAUUGUAAUUUUAAUUCACAUUCCUCUAAUAAUUAGCAAUACAAAGCAUCUUUUCAUGUGCCCGUUGGCCAUCUGUAUAUCUUCUUUGGAGAAAUGUUUGUUUAGGUCUUCUGCCCAUUUUUUGGUUGGGUUGUUUGGUUUUUUGUUAUUGAGUUGAAUGAGCUGUUUGUAUAUUUUGGAAAUUAAGCCCUUGUUGGUCAUAUCCUUUGCAAAUAUUUUCUCCCAUUCUAUAGGUUGUCUUUUCAUCUUGUUUAUGGCUUCCUUUGCUGUGCAAAAGUUUAUACAUUUGAUUAGGUCCCAUUUGUUUAUUUUUGCUUUUAUUUCUAUUGCCUUGGGAGACUGAUCUAAGAAAGCAUUGCUACAAUUUAUGUCAGAGAAUGUUUUGCCUAUGUUCUCUUCUAGUAAAGUCAAUAUUUACAUCACCCCUUCCAGAUAUUAGCUCUCUUUCUGUUAACUCACUUGCUAUUCCAGCCCCCUUGAAUUAGCAGUUUGCCUUUGGGAAUCUUGAUCUCCUCCUAGUUCUCCUCAAGUAUUCUGGCCUUGAUUUGCUCCUUCAUCAGCUCUCCUUACUUUGAUUUAUCUUCUAUAGUAAACUUGCUCUAAUCAACUCCAUGAGAACCAUGUGUCCUCACUCAUUCUGAGGCCAGAAGAGCAGUUUCAGGAUAAAUGAGGACCAACAUCAGAAGUCCCUAAGAAUCCUGGUAUUAUUCCAAUUAUGGGUGAGGAAUAAAGUGGUGGCAUAAUUUGGAAAGGGAAAUAAUGUUAAAAACAAAGAGCUAUCACCAAAAGACUAAAGUCCAAACAAUUACAAAAUAAUAAUAAUAAACUGAACAGUAUUAGUUUUCUUUUCUCUUGUAUACUAGGUACUUAGCAUAUAGUAGGUGCUUUAAAAAUAUUUGUUGAGUUCCCUGGUGGCUCAGUGGGUUAAGGAUCCAGCAUUGUCAUUGCUGUCACUGCUUGGGUCACUGCUGUGGCUCAAGUCACUUCCAUAAUGCAGUUCAGUCUCUGGUCAGGGAACUUCCACGUGCCAUGGGUGUGGACAAAAAAAUUGUUAAACAAUGAUUGUGAAUGAAUAAACUCUAUCAAGAACAGAUUUAAAAUAUACUUAAAAUAUAAUUAGGAAUCAAUUAGGCAUGAUCAAAAUUUUUCUCCACAUUUUAAUUAGUCAUUGAAGGAUCCCUUUCCUGGGAAGAAUCUCCAAGGUGGAGAAGGGGUUAUUACUUGAUUGAAAUGGUUUCAGGUAUGAAGUUAUGAGAAUAGAAUUGGUUACUAAAAUACAAUGGUCCCCACAAGGAAAACAAAAGGUUCAUAAAAAUAAAAGUUCAUAAAUUCUAGAGAACAUGGAGAAAUUAAAGAUCUAGCUUUUACAUUUUUACUUCUGCUUGGGCGUCCUCUCUUCCCGCUUCCUAUUUAUUCUCCAGUUCCAUGACAGUACAAAGGGCAAUUCUCUGAGAUAAGAUCUGCUUUUGGAGAGUCAUUUAACCUCUCUUCGUCUUAGUUUCCUUAUCUAAAAAGUGAGAGGUUUGGAGGUGAUCCCUGUGGCCCCUUCCAGCUCCAAAGUCCUUGGGAGUCCACUUGUUCCUUAAAGUUUUCUCCUGAAGUCUCUGACCAUGUUUUAUUAUAGGUUGUCAAUUAUUUGUAUUUACUGACAUACUUCAAUCCCUUUGUUCCUAUUCCUCCAAAGACUUGCCUCUGUGAUUUAACUCUUUCUUUCCCAUCACUUUGAUCACUCUGAUUUGCUUUUCUUUCUCAUGGCUUGGUCUAUCAUUUUUUCAUUUUUUUCUCUUUUUUCUUUUUUUUGCCAUUGUCAUCCUGCCUCCUCCUUGCCCUCACUGUACCUCAUUUGUUGAUUUGUUAAUUUUCUUUUAAAUGACAAACUGGCCUCAGGAUCCCCAGAACUUUAGCAAAUUGUUCUCUAAUUCCUUCCUUGAAAACACACAUACACAUAUACUCCUCCCCACCCCCACCCUAGGCUUCUUCCACUGCCUACUAGGUUCAUGGCCCUUCCCCCACAACCUCCCAUUCCAGUUCCACUACCUUGAUCUCUUCACAAACUUCAUUUCUACUUUAUUUACCAUGAGAAACAUGGAGAAAUUCAGGAAAGCAAAAAGACUAACUUCUAUCCUUUCUCUUAUGAAUGUUUAAAUCCCUGCCAUCCUUUGCAGAAGGAACUCUGAAAAGGAACACCAGACAAGACUCAAUCUGAAUGACCUCCUUGAUCUUCGCUCCCUCCAUCUGCCCCUAAAACACCAUGGCAACUGCCACCUGAAAGAGGCCAGGCAGAAAUUAUCUAAUAAGACCCGGAUCAGUUGCUAAUGCUUUCUUAUUUGAUAAAGUUUUGCAAAGAACACUUUUUCUUUACUCUUCCUUGCCUUAAUGCUACUCCCUUAAUGCUAGCAAGACAAAGAACAUGUAGUACAUGUAAUUGUAAGAACCGUAAUUUGUCACAGGUAUUUAGUUGUAGAUCUUCACAUUUUCUUUGGAAGUUGAAAGUUUAAGUCAUCCUCUAGGCCUGUACCCAGAGUGUGAGGCCUAUAACAGAGGCAGAAAUUGUUGUGGUGAGGAAAAAAAAAAAAAACUGCGGAAUCAGGCAGUGCUUGGGCAAAUUUCAACCUGCUAUUUAUUAGUUAAAGGACCUUGAAUGAGAAAGCUACUUUGCCUCUCUCUGCCUCAGUUUCUUCAUUUGUAAAAUGAAAUGUUCUGCUUGUUUCAAUGGGGAUUACAUAAUGCUCCCCUUGCAAAGUUAUUUUAAGGAAUUAAAGGAGGCCAUGCAUUCAAAGGGCAGAGCAUACUGACUGCAGCCAAGCUAUGAAUAGCUAUGAGUAUGGUUAUCAAUAGGAAGGUUACAUGCAUUGGCUCUCUCUUCUACAAACUAGAAAAGGAGGAAUGCUAAGACGAGAGAAUUGUUCUGUGAGAAGAGGCCUUGUAUAAA